ensembl:lncRNA
UUUCUUUUUUGCAUGUGCUCGGGGUCUCCCGGGGUCAAAUGACUCCUGCACAUUGAGGAUACAUAGAAUGACAUCCUUCUGCAUCAGCCUUCGCUUUGUUUUUCAGUUAAGGUGA